AUUUUCUGUCAUAUUUUUUUUCUUUCUUUGCAAAAUUGCAGGUAAAUGCUAUGAUUCUUGAUAAGUUGCAGAAUAAAUGAGUGUUUUUCUUGGAGGAUGCUUGAUUUUUCAUUUUAGCUUUUUACUUGUCUUGAGCAGUUACCUGGUUUAAUAGCCCAUUAAUUGGAAUUGGAUAAACCAUUUUUAAAGCUAUGGUUUAAAUUGUUUGAU
rnacentral:misc_RNA from 1 species